rnacentral:rRNA from 1 species
UUAAAUUUAAAAAAUUAAUAUUUAAAUUUAAUUUAGUUUUAUAAAUUUUUAAAAUAUUAAUAAAGGUUUAUUAAUUUAGAAUUUAGUCUAUUAAGAGAAAAAAUUUUUUGAUUUAUAGUUUAUUAGUAAAGAAAUUGAAAUUUGAAAUAUUUAAAAUAAUUUAAAUUGAUAAAAGUAAGUUUAAUUUAUUGUAUCUUGGGUAUCAGAGUUUAAAAAUUAAUUAUUUUAAUAAAAAAUUUUUCGAAAAAAAUUAAGAGAUAAAAAUUAUUUUAUUUAAAUGUUAUAAAAUUUUUUAAAAAUAAUUUUUUGAAAUGAAAAGUUAUUCGAUUUUUUUUAUAUCUAAUUUUAAAAGAAAUAAAUUUAAUUUAGAUUUUAUUUAAUAAAAUAAAAUUUUGUUUUUAUUCAAAAUUAAAAUAUUAAAUAAAAUUUAAUAUAUUUAGGGAUAAGCUUAAGUAUAAAGAUUUACAUUAUAAUAAUAAUAAUUGAUAUUUAAUAUAAAAUAAUAAAUUUAAAAUUUUUUAUUUAAAAUAAAGUUUUUAAUAAAAUAAUUUAUAUGCAAUUAAAAAAUUUAUAAUUUAAUAAUUAAAUAUUUAUUUUAAAAAAUUCAUUUUUUUUAUAUGAAUUGAUUUAAUGUUAAAAUUAGUAUAAAUGAUAUAAAUAAAUUUAAAAAUUAUUUAAAAAUUUUAAUUAAAGAAUUAGGCAAUUUAUUAAUUUAAUUAUUAUUUAUUUCACCUGUUUAACAAAAACAUGUCUUUUUGUUUUAAUUUUAAAGUCUAAUCUGCCCAUUGAAUUAAUAAAUUUAAAAGGCUGCAGUAUUUUAACUGUACAAAGGUAGCAUAAUAAAUUGUUUUUUGAUUAAAAACUAGAAUGAAUGAUUGGAUGAAAAUAAAACUUUUUAAAUUAAAUAUUUUAAAAUUUAUUUUUUUUGUUAAAAAACAAAAAUAUUUGUAAUAGACGAGAAGACCCUUUAGAUUUUAAUUAAAUUUAAAUUUAUUAAAAAAAUAAUUUUAAAUUUAAUUUGAUUGGGGUGAUUAAUAAAUUUAUUUAACUUUAAUUUGUAUAAAAAACUUAAAUUUAAGAUUUUUAAAGAUUUAAUUUUAUGGAUUAUAAGAAUAAAUUACCUAAGGGAUAACAGCGUUAUUUUAAUUUUAAGAUCUUAUUGAAAUUAAAUUUUGCGACCUCGAUGUUGGAUUAAGAGUAAUUAAAAGAGAAGAAGAUUUUAAUUAUGAGUCUGUUCGACUUUUGGAAUCUUACAUGAUCUGAGUUCAAACCGGUGUGAGCCAGGUUGGUUUCUAUCUUUAUUUAAAAAUAAAAAUUUUAGUACGAAAGGAUUAAAUUUUUAGAAUAAAAAAUUUUAUUGAGUUUUAAUAAAAAAAAAAAUUGAUUAAAAAAUAAGUUUGAAAGAAGAUUAAAAAUUUAAGAUUAUUGAA